UAGAAUGUAGUAUAAUGGAAGUAUAAAGAGUUUUGAUCUCUUUGGUGUAGGUUCAAUUCCUAUUUUUCUAA
rnacentral:tRNA from 1 species